rnacentral:rRNA from 1 species
UACGUAGGCAGCAAGCGUUGUUCGGAAUUACUGGGCGUAAAGAGUGUGUAGGCGGUGCUCCAAGUCUGUUGUGAAAUCUCCCGGCUUAACUGGGAGGGUGCAGCGGAAACUGGAAUGCUCGAGGGUGGGAGAGGUAAGCGGAAUUCCUGGUGUAGCGGUGAAAUGCGUAGAUAUCAGGAGGAACACCUAUAAUGUAAACAACUUACUGGACCACUUCUGACGCUGAGACACGAAAGCGUGGGUAGCAAACAGG